rnacentral:rRNA from 1 species
UACGUAGGGGGCAAGCGUUGUCCGGAAUCAUUGGGCGUAAAGAGCGUGUAGGCGGCCCGGUAAGUCCGCUGUGAAAGUCCAGGGCUCAACCCUGGGAUGCCGGUGGAUACUGUCGGGCUCGAGUCCGGAAGAGGAGUGUGGAAUUCCUGGUGUAGCGGUGAAAUGCGUAGAGAUCCGGAAGAACACCGGUGGCGAAGGCGGCCUGCUGGGCAGUGGCUGACGCUGAGGCGCGACAGCGUGGGGAGCAAACAGG